UCUUUUCCUCUCCCUGCAGCAGAGAAGAGGAGGGGAGCCACAGCAGAGGAGCCACAGGAGAGCCGCGCCUCAGGCAAGCAGCGCCCGGCCGCGGCCAUGCGGGCGGCACCGCCCCGACGGCCGCCGCACCCCGCCCGGCGAGCUCCCACCUGUUACACCGCUCCCUCAGCGCCUCCCGCCGCCGCACUCACCAGGCUGCUGUGUGCUAUUCCAGCACCUUCGAACAAAUCCUCCUUUAUACUAAGAGCAAACAAAUGGUUUUGAAGACGGCUAAAUCUUAAGCACUGCAGCAAUAGUGAUCUGAGGCAAUGACCACUACUGAUCUCCUGCUGCCUCAAGUAAGCUGAGAACACCUGCAAUGUAGAGGAGUUUGGUGGAAAAAUCUUUCACAGGAAAAAAAAUUGCGACUUAUUUGGGACAAUAACUGCAGUAGCACUCACCCUUCAAGACAAACAGAGGCAAGGAGGUACUUACCUACAGCACCUACAUGACCGUUGUGAGCUGCCAUCAUGAGAGGUGUUUUUCCUGCGUGAUCCGCAGCAUUCACUUGUGCGCUGUGACUCAGGAGGAGCUGGAGGCACUCCACGUGAUCCGCGAAGGCUGCUGCGUGAAGGGGCGUUCUGUGGGGAGAGUGACACGACCACAGCUGUUGCUAAGAAUGACAAUAUUCCUGUUCACUUACCUGCCCAACAACCUGAAAGUGCAAGACUUUUUUUUUUUUUUUUUCUAUGAAACUUUGAGUUAUCACCACGGGAACACUAUAGUAGCAGCACCUGAAAUAAGUUAAAUAAUAUUUACAGUCUCUGUCCUGGUGUAAUAUAAACUUUAAAAAAAAAGGGAAGCAUAAGGUAGAUAUGAUACUGUAGACAAUCUCAUAUUAGCAGCAUAUUUAUUUUAAUGGAGCACACUGCGUAAUAUGAAAAGUAGUACAAUCCCUCAUUCUUAUUAAUUUGAUUUUAUUUUUUUUAACAAGCCUAAGAGGGGAAGAACUAUCAGAAAAGAACAGAUCUAUUGUUUAAAAAAACUGAAGUAUUUUAAGUUAUAGUCAAAAUAUUGCAGCAACAAGCUACAAGAACAGUGUUACUAUAAAAGGCAGAAAGAAUUCUAUCUGCUUUGAAGGUUAGCGGUUUCCACAGGACUGAGACACUAGAAUUCGUUCGCUGUCUCCCUGUGGCAUUUUGAGUCUGAAGUGUGACUAAUAGAGAUGAAAGAUAGUUGGUACGCAACCCCGCUCAUAGUGUUACUUCAGGUUUUGCUUAUCAGUAAGGGUGAGGUGGUCUUACCCUUAUAGGAGUAGAUAAUCACCAUUACUGAAGGUCUUGAAUUUGUUUUAAUUAAUAGAAACAAUGCAUAUUCAAUUUUUAGAAUUUCAUUAAUUUUAAUUAAAUAUAUAUAUACACACACACACACAGAGUGAGGAGAUUAUCAACAUGACAAAAUAAGGAUUUGGCUGAAUGCAUAUCUCGUGCUGUAUGAGUAUUAUUUUGCUGCAUAGAUCUUUUGAGUUGUGUGCCAUGAGAAUUCUAACAUAACGUUAAAGCUUUUAAUGAAAUACUUUCCUAUGUGUACAUAGCAUCACUCCAUUUAGCAAAGAUAAACAUGUUUAAAUAUUUAACACAAAAACCUGGUUCAGGAAAACAGCCUAUAGUCAUAGCUGUUCUUAACAAACAAAAUACUAUUUCUUUUCUAUUUCUUUUCAUAUGUACUAUGAAAUCGAAUACUUGCUUCAAGUGAGCCACCAUUUAACUCUGUUGCAGUGUAAACUGCUGUCUGAAAGAAUCAGCAUGACAAGCCUUAGCUCAACCGUAUCAGAUAAGGAUUAGUUCCAGAGUUUCAGAAAGAAUUAUGAAAAAUACUAGAUGGAUUCAUGAAGAUGAAAUGCAAUUUGUUUAAGAAGCUAUUACCUUCCUUUGUCAUCUUUGCAAUUGACAAUGCUGGCAUCGAUGGCUCCGAUGAGCAGGGAUGCACAGUUUUCAUGAUCGUUGAUUCUGCCAAAGAAAAGACAUUUUCAAAAAGUGAUGCGUACUGCAGAAGGGAAGCCUACACAACUCCUAUCAUUACUUCUGGAAGACAUUCAUUCUUGUAAUAGAAUACAGAACAGAAGGCAGUCAUUCUAACUGUUGGCAGAAAUUAAGAAGGCUUUGAUUCCUACUCUGUGGAAGAGACUCUGCUAAGUGCGGCACAAAAGCAAGGAGGAGUUUAAGACUAAGGAAACAGAUGAACAAGGAGAGACGUUCAGAAAACCUGAGUCUGGCUUCUCAAAACCACGUAUGAAUGUGAGAGAAGAACUGAGGAAAAAAAGGAUCAAGAAUAUCAUCAGGAAUAUGAAAAGCUGCUUUAACAGCUGGCCAGCUACUAUCAGCGACCUCUGUACCAUACAUAGGUUAGCUUUGGUAUCUUGGGCAUGUUCAUGUAUUGCUAUCAAUACAGAAGAGAAUUUUUAUGGCUGUAGCUUUUAGACUGGUGCCGGAGUCCUAAGCUGAACUGCUCACUCUAGUUAUCAUAGAGUUCUGUAUAAAUACCAUCUCUUGCAUCAACUUCACAUUGGGUGAGAAGCUGACUCCUAGAAAAGAUAAGACCUGCCUCGAGUUUCACUGCCUCUACAAAAAACUUCGGGCUUAAUUAUUUACACCGUCCUCCCCCAGGAAAAUGAAAAAACCUGCUGGGCAGUUCUUUUAAAGAAAUUAUUUUCCGAAUUUUUAAGGUGCUCAGUUACAAGAAUAAUGAUUGCUAUUGUAAAACAUCUAGAGCCAAGAAAAAAUGGUCUAAUCAGUAUUUUAGCUAAUUAAUUAAAGCGAAUGUAAAAUAAAGUCAAAAGCAGAGCAUUACUGAGAUCCGAUCUGUCCUGCUUUUUUAAUCUCAUUGACUAUGCGUGGUCAUGUUUCAAAUCAUUUACAGUAUUCCCUACAUUCAGCAUCCCUGUAUUUAUACAUGAAUUGUAGUCACAGUAAAACAAA